rnacentral:rRNA from 1 species
UGCCUCAGUAACGGCGAGUGAAGCGGCAACAGCUCAAAUUUGAAAUCUGGCCUCACGGCCCGAGUUGUAAUUUGUAGAGGACGUCUCGGGCGCGACGCCGGUCUAAGUUCCUUGGAACAGGACGUCACAGAGGGUGAGAAUCCCGUACGUGACCGGCCGUCAACCCCAUGUGAGGCCCCUUCGACGAGUCGAGUUGUUUGGGAAUGCAGCUCUAAAUGGGUGGUAAAUUUCAUCUAAAGCUAAAUACCGGCCAGAGACCGAUAGCGCACAAGUAGAGUGAUCGAAAGAUGAAAAGCACUUUGGAAAGAGAGUUAAACAGCACGUGAAAUUGUUGAAAGGGAAGCGCUUGCAACCAGACUUGCCCGCGGGUGAUCAGCCGUCCUUCGGGGCGGUGCACUCUCCCGCGAUCAGGCCAGCAUCGGUUUCGGCGGCCAGAUAAAGACUUCGGGAACGUGGCUCCCUCCGGGGAGUGUUAUAGCCCGUCGUGCCAUGUGGUCAGCCGGGACCGAGGACCGC